rnacentral:rRNA from 1 species
GACGUAGGGCGCGAGCGUUGUCCGGAUUUAUUGGGCGUAAAGAGCUCGUAGGCGGCUUGUUGCGUCGACCGUGAAAACCCGUGGCUUAACUGCGGGCUUGCGGUCGAUACGGGCGGGCUGGAGUUCGGUAGGGGAGACUGGAAUUCCUGGUGUAGCGGUGAAAUGCGCAGAUAUCAGGAGGAACACCGGUGGCGAAGGCGGGUCUCUGGGCCACUACUGACGCUGAGAAGCGAAAGCGUGGGGAGCGAACAGG